GUGUCAGCAGCCGCGGUAAUACGUAGGGGGCUAGCGUUGUCCGGAUUUAUUGGGCGUAAAGAGCGUGUAGGCGGCCAGGUAGGUCCGCUGUGAAAGUCCGAGGCUCAACCUCGGAAUGUCGGCGGAAACCCUCUGGCUAGAGUCCGGAAGAGGAGAGUGGAAUUCCCGGUGUAGCGGUGAAAUGCGCAGAUAUCGGGAAGAACACCCGUGGCGAAGGCGGCUCUCUGGAACGGUACUGACGCUGAGACGCGAAAGCGUGGGGAGCGAACAGGAUUAGAAACCCCUGUAGUCC
rnacentral:rRNA from 1 species